GGUUUUUUAAGGGGGGGGGGGGGGUGUUGAUAUAAUUUGAAGAGGAGAGGGAAGGAGAGUUUAUAGGAGUUCGGAAAAUAAUGUGAGACCAAGAGGAAAACAAAUUAUUACGAAAUAACUGAAAAUAACCAAAUGAUACUAUACAUGUUAUUAGUCAAGUUAUCCUACCAAAGGUCUUGUUGUUUGCGGGACAUUCCAACACUACGCAC
rnacentral:lncRNA from 1 species